GGGAAGGUAGCUCGGCGUUAGAGUGCAUGCCUUGCAAGCAUGAGGCCCUGGGUUCGAUUCCUCAGCACCA
rnacentral:tRNA from 1 species